rnacentral:lncRNA from 1 species
GGAACUCACCAGUUGUUUAAUUAAGGGAUUGGAAAAAAUAACCCACCCCUCAGGAUCUGCUUCAAAAUUUCGGCAGAAGCAACGCCAGAGCAGGAGACACGGUUUGGCACCCCAUGGCUGGGCCGGGGGCCUCUGUGAAUGGCCAGCCAUGGGCAGAGGCAUUCUGCAAGCUGUUUCUACAUUUCCGGAUAACAAAGUUGAUUCACUCUACAGCUCCUAAUUAGCUGGCUUGGUUAGGAUCGUUUUUUUUUCUUUUUUCUUCCCUGAUCUCAUCAAUACACCAUUCAGUUGGAGCCACCAAAGAAC